UUUUAUCGGAGAGUUUGAUCCUGGCUCAGGACGAACGCUGGCGGCGUGCCUAAUACAUGCAAGUCGAGCGGAUUG
rnacentral:rRNA from 1 species